CCUACGGGAGGCAGCAGUGGGGAAUAUUGCACAAUGGGGGAAACCCUGAUGCAGCGACGCCGCGUGAGUGAAGAAGUAAUUCGUUAUGUAAAGCUCUAUCAGCAGGGAAGAAAAUGACGGUACCUGCGUAAGAAGCCCCGGCUCACUACGUGCCAGCAGCCGCGGUAAUACGUAGGGGGCAAGCGUUAGCCGGAUUUACUGGGUGUAAAGGGAGCGUAGACGGCAGUGCAAGUCUGGAGUGAAAGGCGGGGGCUCAAACCCCGGACUGCUCUGGAAACUGUACGGCUGGAGUGCAGGAGAGGUAAGUGGAAUUCCUAGUGUAGCGGUGAAAUGCGUAGAUAUUAGGAGGAACACCAGUGGCGAAGGCGACUUUCUGGACAGUAACUGACGUUGAGGCACGAAAGUGUGGGGAGCAAACAGGAUUAGAUACCCCAGUAGUC
rnacentral:rRNA from 1 species